rnacentral:rRNA from 1 species
AACGAACGCUGGCGGCAGGCCUAACACAUGCAAGUCGAACGAGAAGCUAUCCUUCGGGGUAGUGGAAAGUGGCAGACGGGUGAGUAACGCGUGGGAACCUUCCCUGUGGUACGGAAUAGCUCCGGGAAACUGGAAUUAAUGCCGUAUACGCCCUUCGGGGGAAAGAUUUAUCGCCAUAGGAUGGGCCCGCGUCGGAUUAGCUUGUUGGUAGGGUAAUGGCCUACCAAGGCAACGAUCCGUAGCUGGUCUUAGAGGAUGAUCAGCCACACUGGGACUGAGACACGGCCCAGACUCCUACGGGAGGCAGCAGUGGGGAAUAUUGGACAAUGGGCGAAAGCCUGAUCCAGCCAUGCCGCGUGAGUGACGAAGGCCUUAGGGUUGUAAAACUCUUUUGGCGGGGACGAUAAUGACGGUACCCGCAGAAUAAGCCCCGGCUAACUUCGUG